rnacentral:rRNA from 1 species
ACCUGGUUGAUUCUGCCGGACCCGACUGCUAUCAGAGUGAGAUUAAGCCAUGCGAGUUAACGUAGCAAUACGUGGCGCACGGCUCAGUAACACGUAGUCAACAUGCCCAGAGGACGCGGAUAACCUCGGGAAACUGAGUCUAAACCGCGAUAAGUGAGGAUUUCUGGAAUGGUUCCUGACUAAAAUCUAUAUGGCCUCUGGAUUGGACUGCGGCCGAUCAGGCUGUUGGUGAGGUAAUGGCCCACCAAACCUGUAACCGGUACGGGCUCUGAGAGGAGGAGCCCGGAGAUGGGCACUGAGACAAGGGCCCAGGCCCUAUGGGGCGCAGCAGGCGCGAAACCUCUGCAAUAGGCGAAAGCCUGACAGGGUUACUCUGAGUGACUUUCGCUAAGAAAGUCUUUUGGCACCUUUAAAAAGGGUGCAGAAUAAGGGGUGGGCAAGUCUGGUGUCAGCCGCCGCGGUAAUACCAGCACCCCGAGUGGUCGGGACGAUUAUUGGGCCUAAAGCAUCCGUAGCCGGUUCUGCAAGUCCCCCGUUAAAUCCAGCUGCUCAACAGAUGGGCCGCGGAGGAUACUACAGAGCUAGGAGGCAGGAGAGGCAAGCGGUACUCAGUGGGUAGGGGUAAAAUCCGUUGAUCCAUUGAAGACCACCAGUGGCGAAGGCGGCUUGCCAGAAUGCGCUCGACGGUGAGGGAUGAAAGCUGGGGGAGCAAACCGGAUUAGAUACCCGGGUAGUCCCAGCCGUAAACGAUGCAGACUCGGUGAUGGGUUGGCUUCGUGCUAACCCAGUGCCGCAGGGAAGCCGUUAAGUCUGCCGCCUGGGGUAGUACGGUCGCAAGACUGAAACUUAAAGGAAUUGGCGGGGGAGCACCACAAGGGGUGAAGCCUGCGGUUCAUUGGAUUCAACGCCGG